GAGCGGCGAACGGGUGAGUAACACGUGGGUGAUCUGCCUUGCACUUCGGGAUAAGCCUGGGAAACUGGGUCUAAUACCGGAUAUGACCAUUGGAUGCAUGUCUGGUGGUGGAAAGAUUUAUCGGUGUGAGAUGGGCCCGCGGCCUAUCAGCUUGUUGGUGGGGUAACGGCCUACCAAGGCGACGACGGGUAGCCGACCUGAGAGGGUGACCGGCCACACUGGGACUGAGACACGGCCCAGACUCCUACGGGAGGCAGCAGUGGGGAAUAUUGCACAAUGGGCGGAAGCCUGAUGCAGCGACGCCGCGUGAGGGAUGACGGCCUUCGGGUUGUAAACCUCUUUCGACUCCGACGAAGCGAGAGUGACGGUAGGAGUAGAAGAAGCACCGGCCAACUACGUGCCAGCAGCCGCGGUAAUACGUAGGGUGCGAGCGUUGUCCGGAAUUACUGGGCGUAAAGAGCUUGUAGGCGGUUUGUCGCGUCGUCUGUGAAAACUCACAGCUCAACUGUGAGCUUGCAGGCGA
rnacentral:rRNA from 1 species